CAAUAGCGUAUAUUAAAGUUGUUGCAGUUAAAAAGCUCGUAGUUGGAUUUCGGGACGGGCCAGUUGGUCCGCCGCAAGGUGUGUUACUGACUGGUCUGUUCUUCUUCGCAAAGACUGCGUGUGCUCUUCGUUGAGUGUGCGUAGGAUUUACGACGUUUACUUUGAAAAAAUUAGAGUGUUCAAAGCAGGCUAUCGCUUGAAUACAUGAGCAUGGAAUAAUGGAAUAGGACUUUGGUCCUAUUUUGUUGGUUUCUAGGACCGAAGUAAUGAUUAAGAGGGACAAUUGGGGGCAUCCGUGAUUCGUUGUCAGAGGUGAAAUUCUUGGAUUUACGAAAGACGAACAACUGCGAAAGCACUUGCCAAGAGUGUUUUCAUUAA
rnacentral:rRNA from 1 species